UCGGGAAUUUUGGGCAAUGGGGGAAACCCUGACCCAGCAACGCCGCGUGAGGGAUGAAGGCCUUCGGGUCGUAAACCUCUGUCGGGAGGGAAGAACGGUCGUUGGUCCAAUAGGCCUUCGAUUUGACGGUACCUCCAAAGGAAGCACCGGCUAACUCCGUGCCAGCAGCCGCGGUAAUACGGAGGGUGCAAGCGUUGUUCGGAAUUACUGGGCGUAAAGCGCGUGUAGGCGGUCCGACAAGUCGGAUGUGAAAGCCCGAGGCUCAACCUCGGAACUGCAUUCGAAACUGUCGGACUAGAGUCCCGGAGAGGAUGGUGGAAUUCCCAGUGUAGAGGUGAAAUUCGUAGAUAUUGGGAGGAACACCAGUGGCGAAGGCGGCCAUCUGGACGGUGACUGACGCUGAGACGCGAAAGCGUGGGGAGCAAACAGGAUUAGAUACCCGCGUAGUCC
rnacentral:rRNA from 1 species